GGAGGGUUCGCAUAGCGGCCGAGUGCGACGGUCUUGAAAACCGUUAAGUCCUUCCGGGGCUUCGUGGGUUCGAAUCCCACACCCUCCG
rnacentral:tRNA from 1 species